CCGAGUUUACAACUCCCAAACCCCUGUGAACAUACCACUUGUUGCCUCGGCGGAUCAGCCCGCUCCCGGUAAAACGGGACGGCCCGCCAGAGGACCCCUAAACUCUGUUUCUAUAUGUAACUUCUGAGUAAAACCAUAAAUAAAUUA
rnacentral:misc_RNA from 1 species